CGGACGGGUGAGUAACACGUGGAUAACCUACCUAUAAGACUGGGAUAACUUCGGGAAACCGGAGCUAAUACCGGAUAAUAUUUUGAACCGCAUGGUUCAAAAGUGAAAGACGGUCUUGCUGUCACUUAUAGAUGGAUCCGCGCUGCAUUAGCUAGUUGGUAAGGUAACGGCUUACCAAGGCAACGAUGCAUAGCCGACCUGAGAGGGUGAUCGGCCACACUGGAACUGAGACACGGUACAG
rnacentral:rRNA from 1 species